UCGUACGAUAGUUAYCAGCUUGCUGGUAGCGAAAGUGGCGCACGGGUGCGUAACGCGUAUGCAACCUACCUUAAUCAGGGGGAUAGCCCGAAGAAAUUCGGAUUAACACCGCAUAAAAUCACAGUACAGCAUUGUACAAUGAUCAAAUAUUUAUAGGAUUAAGAUGGGCAUGCGUGACAUUAGUUAGUUGGCGGGGUAACGGCCCACCAAGACCACGAUGUCUAGGGGAUCUGAGAGGAUGACCCCCCACACUGGUACUGAGACACGGACCAGACUCCUACGGGAGGCAGCAGUAAGGAAUAUUGGUCAAUGGAGGCAACUCUGAACCAGCCAUGCCGCGUGCAGGAAGACAGCCCUCUGGGUCGUAAACUGCUUUUAUUCGGGAAUAAACCACAUUACGUGUAGUGUGCUGAAUGUACCGAAGGAAUAAGGAUCGGCUAACUCCGUGCCAGCAGCCGCGGUAAUACGGAGGAUCCAAGCGUUAUCCGGAUUUAUUGGGUUUAAAGGGUGCGUAGGCGGCUUUUUAAGUCAGGGGUGAAAGACGGUGGCUCAACCAUCGCAGUGCCCUUGAUACUGAAGAGCUUGAAUACAUUAGAGGUAGGCGGAAUGUGACAAGUAGCGGUGAAAUGCAUAGAUAUGUCACAGAACACCGAUUGCGAAGGCAGCUUACUAUGAUGUUAUUGACGCUGAGGCACGAAAGCGUGGGGAUCAAACAGGAUUAGAUACCCUGGUAGUCCACGCCCUAAACGAUGAAUACUCGCUGUUAGCGAUACACAGUUAGCGGCUAAGCGAAAGCGUUAAGUAUUCCACCUGGGGAGUACGGUCGCAAGAUUGAAACUCAAAGGAAUUGACGGGGGCCCGCACAAGCGGAGGAGCAUGUGGUUUAAUUCGAUGAUACGCGAGGAACCUUACCCGGGCUUGAAAGUUAGUGAAUCAUUUAGAGAUAGAUGAGUCCGCAAGGACACGAAACUAGGUGCUGCAUGGCUGUCGUCAGCUCGUGCCGUGAGGUGUUGGGUUAAGUCCCGCAACGAGCGCAACCCCUAUGUUUAGUUGCCAGCACGUCAAGGUGGGGACUCUAAACAGACUGCCUGUGCAAACAGAGAGGAAGGAGGGGACGACGUCAAGUCAUCAUGGCCCUUACGUCCGGGGCUACACACGUGCUACAAUGGAUGGUACAGAGGGCAGCAAGCUGGUAACAGCAAGCAAAUCUCCAAAAGCCAUUCACAGUUCGGAUAGAGGUCUGCAACUCGACCUCUUGAAGUUGGAUUCGCUAGUAAUCGUAUAUCAGCAAUGAUACCGGUGAAUACGUUCCCGGGCCUUGUACACACCGCCCUUUAAGGCAUCGAAGUAGGGGUACCUAAAGUAUGAA
rnacentral:rRNA from 1 species